AUUGAACGCUGGCGGCAGGCCUUACACAUGCAAGUCGAACGAGUGGCGGACGGGUGAGUAAUGUCUGGGAAACUGCCCGAUGGCGGGGGAUAACUACUGGAAACCGUAGCUAAUACCGCAUACCAUCGGAUGUGCCCCGAUGGGAUUAGCUAGUUGGUGGGGUAACGGCUCACCAAGGCAACGAUCCCUAGCUGGUCUGAGAGGAUGACCAGCCACACUGGAACUGAGACACGGUCCAGACUCCUACGGGAGGCAGCAGUGGGGAAUAUUGGACAAUGGGGGAAAGCCUGAUGCAGCCAUGCCGCGUGUAUGAAGAAGGCCUUCGGGUUGUAAAGUACUUUCGGCGAGGAGGCGUUACUCGCAGAAUAAGCACCGGCUAACUCCGUGCCAGCAGCCGCGGUAAUAC
rnacentral:rRNA from 1 species